GCUAUGAUGAAUUUGAUUGCACUGAUCAUAUGAUAUGAUAACGUAUUGUCCUCUAAGAAGUUCUGAGCUU
rnacentral:snoRNA from 1 species